rnacentral:lncRNA from 1 species
ACGGGAGGAGGCGGGAGCCGGGAAGGAGGGGAGCCUAGGCCCGGCGUGGGGAGGCCGGCAGGAAGGGCCUCGAGCCCAGUGCGGACCUUUCUUCAGCCUCUGUGCGACCGAGCCGCGCGCCAGGCUCCUGUGCGAGGAGGACGCGCUGACUCCCUCCGACCUGGGCUCCGAUGGAGCAGAAAUAGCGGGACCUGGACUUGUGGCGCGCCUGGUGCCACAUCUCGGGCUCUGCGAGCGUCCUGGCGCGGGAUCCUGCCUGUUCCCUUCUUUUCGCCAGGUUUGCAUCCAAGAGAGGGGAGGACAGGGGCAAAAGGAUGCAGGGAGGCUGCUGAUUUCCACUGAAGAGCUAAUUUCCUGUGAGACAUUAACAGUGAUUUAAGAAAAAGAUUCCUGUAACUGUAAUGUCUUACAAUAACAGAAUGCAGGAGAGCACAUAUCAAUGAAGAAAAGACAAAAUGUACUUAUCCAUGAAGCUGAGGUUAAGAAACCAGUGUCUUCAAGAGCCAGGGACAGCACUGGGUCUGUGCAGAGUUGAGAGAUGGUGAUGACAUGUGGUUUCCAGCAUUCCUCACCCAGUCCAGGGACACUGUGGGUGUGCCCAGCUUAAGUCCAGUAACUGGAAAUACAAGCCCAAGUUCUGGAGAGUUUGAGCUGCAGAGAUAUAUAUGGGAACACUUUGAAUCUUGACUCAUUGGCCAUAACCAGCAGAGUGGAAAAUACAAGAAGAGAAAAAAACAUUGAACUGCGAUUUUAUAACAUCCUUUACUAGGCAGAGAGAAGAGGAAACACCAGGAAAGAAAACUGUAUUACGAUGUGAAAACUUAAUGUUGAGAAAUUCAGGCAUCUUGGGGUUAGUGAGGAGAAGUUUUAGGGGCUUAGAUUCUUCUAAACACAUGUACAGAAAUGCAUAUUUCAUCUGAUAUCAAAUGGCAUUUAUAGUGCUAAUCUUUACCUCAAGACUUCACAUCUUUUGGUGAUUGCAUCUUUUAGGUUUAUAGCAGCUAAGUUUGCAUGAAAACACCAGGGCUGUUUCAUUUCAGUCAAGAAUUAAUGUUCAUUGAUUGUGCUUCUGCAUUUCAUGUAACUAUUGUAGAAUUUGUUUUAGUUUUAUGAGGGAAUAAUUGUUCCAACUUCUAUAUAACUCAGGAAUUUACUCUCAAACAACACUGUCAAUUAGUUACUUAUCUCUCUGGAAAUGAUCUGGGAACAUGGAGAGGAAAGGGAGGAAGGGGCAAAAUCUGACCACUUAAAUCUAAGCAUAUUAGAUCAUUUUAUGCUAGAAAGUCCUGAAUGAUGUGACUUUCGUUCUUGUAAAACACCUCUUUCCAUAGAUUCAUGGCCCAAACAGUAUAUAAAGAGUGGGGAAGGAACUGCAUUUGCAAAUAGUUCAAAUCAUUGCUCCAUCUUAACUACGCAGUUCACAAAGUGUGAAGAAAUGUGAUCAUCUCAAAAAAGAUAAUGGGGAAAAAAUAUGUUUUGUUCUGUGACUUUAAAGUCUUGCAAUAUUUUACAUAAAUGAUAAUGGGUGCUUUAAUAAGAACUCUUGAUACUUUUGUUAUUGUAUUCAAUAUAUGCAUAUAAUACAACAGGAUGAUAUUGUUUUGGAUUUGGAAAUGUAUUCUUUCUUAUGCAAUCUUAUGCAGUCAUACUGCUUGAAUAUCAUUACCUGAAUUUAUCUUUCUUUUUUUUGUUGUUGUUUUACACUCUACUUAUUUGGUGCCUGUCAGUCUUUUGUCGUCAGUUUAUAUUCUACUAAACUCAAAAAGACAAUCUCAUACCUUUUGUAAUUGUAGGCAUUCUUUACUAGAUUUUUAAAUACACUUCAAAAAUUCAAGUACUUUGAUUUCAUGCCAUCAAGUAGCUGAAUCUAUCCCCCCGUCUCUUUUUAAAUUUAAGUGAGUAGUUCAAUUUCUGUCACUUUCUACUUUGUGAAUUCUAAAUCUUUUAAAACCAUCUUGCCAUUUUUCGUGCACUUACCCUUACAGAAAACUCUGUGAAACACUACUUAUCUCUACUUUUAUGUUUUUAACUCCUUUUUUAUAUUACUAUUCCCUCUGCUUUCUAAAUGCACAUAUUAAUUUGUUCUUUUUAUUCUCUGUAGCUCUUCUCAGUGUAUGAAUUCAGUUUCCCAUCAGUCUCCAUACAAUUAAAAAAAAGUUGAGUAUUCUGUUAUUUUAAUAAGAUAUCUAGUGCCCAUAUUCUAAUUCUGCCCCUUAUUUUUAAUAUAAUUUUAUUGUUGAUUUAAAAUGACAACAGUUUCAAUUCCCAGAAAGUGAAAGGAAACAAAGGAAUAAUAUUAUAGGCUUAAUUUUUAUCAGUGAACUUGUAGGUGAAGAAAAGAUUUGGGGAAGGAAAUGAACAUAUUAUAUUGCAAAAUAGUAAGGAACAAUCAGAUGUGUUUUCUAGUCUCUGGAAAAGCAUGUUUCAAGAAAUUCAAUGAAAAGUUCAUCAUGCUUGCUUAGAUUGUUGAGAAGCAAAAACACUGAUGAACAUUUGGAAGCAAUGAGAAUGUAAUUCUAAUCAUACUCUUUUAAUAAUGUUGCAAAACUCUCCAAACACUACUCUGUGUGGAUGUCUUUCAGAAUAUGAUGAAUACUAGUAGUCUUAUUCUGCCCUUUUCUCUCUAUCACAAUAUAUACAUUCUAUAUUGCAUACACAUAUUUUCCAAAUAUUACAUAUAAUUUCAUGUAAUUUAUAGACCUAUUAAGGCCCAACCAUUUUCUUGGAUAGGGGAUUCUUUAGAAGUCCAGCUUAAAUAAAGCCCGUAUAGAAAGUUUUUUUAAAAUUUAUACAUAAUCACCUAAAGUAACCUUAUCUACUGAACUCUUAGUACAUGCUACUGGAACCUUUUAUCAUGUUUCUUCCUGGCUUGCAUUACAACACUGUUGACAUAUCUCAGCCUUACUUCUAGGCUUCUUUGAGAGCAUGACUCAUGUUUGUAUUCCUCACUGAGGUUGAAUGAAUAAGAGAAACUACAGUAGUAGGAAAAAACAGUACAUGUACAUAUCAAUGAAUAUGAAAGGGUCAAAUGGAUCUAUUAUAGUAAGCACAAAAUCAACUGACACCAGCAAAGUAAACCCAAAAUUUUUAAUGGUAUUUUAAUAGAUCAAGAGGAGCAAGCAGAUUUUUGAGACAGUUGUCUCCUACUUUCUCUAUCACAGGGAGUAAUUUUAAAAGAAAAAUGGAGGGUAAGUUUCUUUAAGAGAAAAUUGUAGUUUAAAACAGGUCAUGGGAUAAUUAGAAAUAAUUUAAUUUCUUUAGAGGAUUUUAAUCUUUCAACUGCUUGCAAUUAGAUCCUAAGGCAAUAAAAGAAUAAGGAGAUUUGGAAAACCAUUGUCUGUAAUCUCUGAAGAAAAGUGGACAUUAGGGGAGUCAGUUGAAAAGCAAAGCUAUCACCAUUUUCUAAAGAGGAAAAAGGUGAACCUCACAAACUAUAGACCAAAAAAAUAGGACAUCGAGAGAAAGAAUAUGAAGCUAGCAUAGGUUCACAAAGAAUGAGUCAAAUCAAACAACAUGCAUUUUUUAUUUAUAAAGCAUGACUUGUUCAUUGUCAAUUCAUGUUAGCUUAAUCAUUAGGCAUUAAUGCCAUCACUGCAAUGCAUAUGUCAGCAAUAAAUAAUCAAAGACCAGGCUUCCAUCAUUCUGUUUAAUAUCUUCAAGUAAUGCUUAAGUUUGCAAAUGCUCUUUUAACACAUUCUCCAUAUGCAGCCUGCCCAGCACUGCACACAAUAGACCUGUUACUUCCCCCUCACGAGCACUCCUAAUAUUUCAUGUGCUCAUCCAAUUGACUUCUCCCACUGGUGCCUCAUAUUGAAUUUGUAGAAUCACACCUGCUCCUUUUUCAAAACUCUUCUGAGUUUUUUCUUAAAUAAUUCACUGACCCCAAAGUUGUCAGAUAUUUGAAGACUACUCGCACAAUUUUAAUAUUAUAAAUGUAUAAUGUAAAUGUAAUUAAGAUUUGUAUAAUGUACGAUGUACUUUGGUAAAUAAAAGUAUGCUGUGAAUAAAUACGUAUGAUACAAUUCAAAAUUUUACAUAAAUAUGUGAUAAAAUUUAGCUCAUAUUCUUUUUUUUUUUCUUUGAGACGGAGUCUCACUCUGUUGCACCCAGGCUAGAGUGCAGCAGCAUGAUCUCAGCUCACUGCAACCUCUACCUCCUGGGUUCAAACAAUUCUCCUGCCUCAGCCUCCUGAGUAGCUGGGAUUACAGGUGCCCGCCACCAUGCCCAGCUAAUUUUUUUCUAUUUUUGUUGUUGUUGUUGUUUUUAGUAGAGACGGGGUUUCACCAUGUUGGUCAGGCUGGUCUUGAACUCCUGACCUCAGAUAAUCCACCUGCCUCGGCCUCCCAAAGUUCUGGGAUUACAGACGUGAACCACGGUGCCCGGCCUAGUUCAUGUUCUUUAAGGACAAUUAUGAAUAUUUUUAUGCACUGUUAAUUUUCAUUAAGAUAUUGAUCAAUUAAUAGCUAUAUAUGUUCUAUAAAUUAAUCCUAUCUAGUUUCAAUCUUAAAUUGUUUGCAUAUACCAAUCUAGUUUAUUGUUUGCAUAUAUUUUAUAGUGUAGAGAUUAGGCAUUUUAAUAAAAUUUUAAAAUUUCCAGGACAUACUGUUAAUGACUAUGCUUCCUACUAUAGGCCAUAAUUAAUUUUUUUCUAUUGUCAACAAUAUUUUGGUAGGGAUGAUCAGGAAAUAAGGAAAUGUUUCCUUCAUUUGUUAACAAUAGGUGUUUGGGGAUUUUAAAAUGAAAAUUGAAGAAGUAAAAGACACCAUAUAUUUAGUUUGUUUGAUUUCGUGGCUUCAAGAGUUCAAUAAUUUAUUGAAAUAUUUUACAGACCAAAGAACAACAGAUAUAUUACGUUUAUAAGCCCCCACAUAUUUUAAAGGAUAAUGGUUUAUAUAUGAAAAUUCCCUGAACCUACACUUCAUC